rnacentral:tRNA from 6 species
GGGGGUAUGGCGAAAUUGGUAGACGCUGCGGACUUAAAAUCCGUUGGCUUUUUAGACCGUGAGGGUUCAAGUCCCUCUACCCCCA